UACGUAGGGUGCGAGCGUUGUCCGGAAUUACUGGGCGUAAAGAGCUCGUAGGUGGUUUGUCGCGUUGUUCGUGAAAACUCACAGCUUAACUGUGGGCGUGCGGGCGAUACGGGCAGACUGGAGUACUGCAGGGGAGACUGGAAUUUCUGGUGUAGCGGUGGAAUGCGCAGAUAUCAGGAGGAACACCGGUGGCGAAGGCGGGUCUCUGGGCAGUAACUGACGCUGAGGAGCGAAAGCGUGGGGAGCGAACAGG
rnacentral:rRNA from 1 species